rnacentral:snRNA from 1 species
GAAUAGAAAUCACUAACAUAUA